UAUCUUCCAAACUAUAAAUUCAUUGUUGUAUAACCUUAUUUUUCAGAGUAAUCCACCUGCAGUUUCUUGCAACAAAGAAAGGUAAAUUUUUCACAGUUGAAAAAAAAUAGCCCAAAAAUUUUUAAAAAUGAAAAAAUUCGCGCUAAUUUUUCUGAUUUUUAUAAUUUUUAUGAUAAUCGGAUCGAGAAUCGUUUCACCUUGUCCAAUGAGAGGAGGAAAUAAUAUGGAGAAUUGCGACCAUGGUUCUUCAUCAGACUCGGUUGAUCUUCGAUUGGAUGCCCAGAGUAAUGAGCCAUUUGAAUAUUUGGUUAAUGGAUACGCUUAGUAUGUAAAUUACAUGGGCGGAUCUUGAUUGAGAAAUGAAGUAAAUACGAGUAAAAUACACACGUAGUAUCCGAUUAGACUAAUGAUGAUAAGAGUUUUAAAAAAGACCUUAAAUAAUUAUUAAUAAAUGAUUUUGUACAUCCUUGGAUAGUUUUUCGAAUAAAUAUUAUUAUACUUGAUGA